GGCUGUUUAAGUUACUUCAACGGCCAUUGGCAAAGCUAAUAUUUGUUCUUCGAGCUCCGAAAAGUGAAGAAGGAUAUGCUGCCAUUGGUGGCGGCUCGCCUUUGCGUAAAAUAACCGAUGAACAGGCAAAUGCUCUUCGAAUGGCUUUGGAGGCAAAUAAUGUGAAUGUCAGUAUGUAUGUUGGAAUGCGAUAUUGGUAUCCAUUCAUAGAGGAGGUCAUUGAGCAGAUUAAGCUAGACAAGAUAAAAAAGCUUGUUGUGCUGCCAUUAUAUCCUCAGUUCUCCAUUUCCACAACUGGAAGAGAUUGACAUGGAAUAUAAGCACUUAGCUCUUGAAUCCGGAAUCGAGAAUUGGGGUCGUGUUCCUGCCCUCCACAUGUAUGGUAGUGAAAAUACAAUAUGGUAGUUCUUUGCACUAUGUAGACGCAUGGUUAUAGUGAAGUUGUUAUUCUUGUAUGGUAUCUCAUUGAUUUUGUAUAUAUAUUCUCUUAGACUUCUGUAUAUUUUGAAAAACCGCACAUCUAUAAGGACCUAAAUAUCUAAAAGUUUUAAUUUUAGGUUGAUACAUUGUUGGACGGUAUCAAAUAGGAUGACAAAGGUUUAGCAGUGGCUAUAGCUCAAAAUGUUGACACUGGAGCCAUAUUAAUGCAAGGCUUUGUCAACAGGGGUGCACUAGCUACAACUAUCACUUCUAGGAAGGCAACGUUCUUCAGUCGAUCACGGGCAACAUUAUGGACAAAAGGAGAAACUUCCAACAAUUUCAUCAACAUUUAUGACAAAAGGAGAAACAAGUUAUGCGUGCAAUUUAGUUGGAGAGGUUUUUUGUUAGGUCAUGUAAGACUUUUGUUGGUUAAACUAUUAGAAAUUCAA